GGAAUCCAGAAAUGUUUAUUUUCUUGGAAGAGCAAAGCAAAACUUUACUUCAGACCUUCCCAAGAAAGAGAUGCAUGCUCUCCCGGUGUAAACGCCUUCCCACUGCCUUCCCUUCUGCAAAUGAGGAAGUUGGAUAAUCUCAGGGGUCCUCUCGAGCUUAAAACUUUUCAGCAUCUUUGGCAUAAGGUGCUAAUUACUUUUAUUUUGCUUUCUUCUUUAUAUUUCGCAGAGCUGAUGUUCUCUUCGCUUCCCAGAAUGCGCAAAAGUGCGGAUUCAAUCCAGAAGGGCUUUGUCAACCACGAAAGUUACAACAGACCUUAAGUACAACCAGGACACUGCAGGGAAAACCUCUGAAUGUCAUUUUGGGAUUUUCGGUGCCUGAGUGUGAAGAUAUUUGCAACUGGCAUAUCAAAUUACAUGUUUCGUGUAAAUACUAGUGUCUGACGACUGCACUUUGAAAUGUCAACGAAGAAAGAAAAUACAGAAAUGCAGAAUCACAGUCCCUAAAGCUCAGAGAGCCUGGCAGCCAACAAGACUUAUUUCAAGACUCCAAGGAAAAUGUCAACAAGGCACUGCGUGUCACAUCAGAGGUCCCAGAGGACAAGCCAUGCAUCGCUUAUGUUGCACAGAGACCCAUGGGGACUUUGGCUGCAAUCUCAUGGUGGCAAGAGCUGGCCCCGCACAGGAACACCAGGUGCUCCUAGGAAAAGACCCAUUUUGGGAUACUACAAGGAGUGCUGUGAGGAGGUAGAGUUAGAAGGUGAGAAAGACAUGAGGGGGGAUUCAGGGCCAGGAGAAAAAGCAAGGGGAAAGAGAUUUGAAGAAUUACUCCCAGAGUGUGUUUGGCCCAGAGUCAGCCAAAUGAGGUGAAGAACACAGUCUAGAGAAGUAUUGCCAAGUCUGCCCCAGAUUUCUGACAGCACCUUCAAGUUUUGGGGCCCAUGGGCUACCCUCACUUCAGACCAGCUGGC
rnacentral:lncRNA from 1 species